rnacentral:lncRNA from 1 species
CGCCAAGUUGCAACAAGUUGACAAGCGGGAAUCUUCUAUAUUAGAUUAAGAAUCAUCGAUGUUUAACCAGGCACAACCCUCGUAAUCAAUCGUUAUCCGAAGUCUAUUACCAAGAUGAUGUCUGAAGAGGCCUUUCAGACAUUGGUACAUGAUAUAUACUCAGAGGCCACACUGACCGCUUUGGAUGCUAUCGAUGCAAAUGAAGCAGCUAUGAAGGAAGCUGCAAUGAAAC